rnacentral:sRNA from 1 species
UCUCAUUCUCUAGUGCUUUCUUCUUUCUUCUCUACUAAUCUCCCCUGCGUUUUUCCGGAAGUCCACCAUCGCUUCCCUGUUCCCGCUAGGUAGCUUUCUAGGUGGACUUCAAUUUGUGACUUGCUCCGUAAUAACAGUUAUUACGGUUUGAUUUAGGUGAAAAUCGUUUGAAUCUCCUAAUAACAAUUACCGAACCAACGUCUGAGGAGAAGAUGAGUGUAGAACCUUCCAUUGAACCUGAACAAGGAACUCAGAGUCCCAACCUGGAGGACUGCUUGAAACUGCUGAAAGGAGAGCGAGACGAACAACGUCUUGCUGGCCUACUUCUCAUCACCAAGUUCUGCAAAGCUAAGGAUCACUCCUCUCUUCGGAGAGUGUAUGAUGCGGUUGGCCCUC